rnacentral:tRNA from 1 species
CGGGGCAUAGCACAGUCUAGUAGUACACUUGACUGGGGGUCAAAAGGUCGCUGGUUCAAGUCCAGUCGCUCCGA